AAUCAAUAAAUGUAAAAAAAAAAUUUGUUUUAAUGCUAGAAAUACUUAAUUUUAAAUGGAUCAUGGGGCGCCUGGGUGGCUCAGUCAGUUAAGCACCCAACUCUUGGUAUUGGCUCAGGUUGUGAUCUCAAGGUCCUGAGAUCGAGCCCCUCGUUGGGCUCCAUGCUGAGCAUGGAGCCUGCUUGGGAUUCUCUCUCCCUCUUUCUCUGCCCCUCCCCCACCUCUCUCUCAAAAUAAAUAGGCAUUAAUAGAUAUAUAAAUAAGUGUGAACCUUCAGGAGUGAUAGCAUUAGAAACUUGGACAAGAAAAUUAAGUUACAGCAUGCUGCUUGGCCUUGCAGUGAAUGACACUUUCAGAUUAUGAUGUCAUAAAUGCCAUGCAAUGGGUUUUGCCUUUUAGAAUCAAUCCGUGGUCAAAUUAUGGAAUAUUCCACUGUGAUUAAAAAACUGAAUAUAAACAUGGACCUUCACAAUGCAAAGGUGAAGGCACAGUUGAUGAGACUUGGGAUGAGCUGCUGGGAAGGGUGACCGGUGCCCAUGUCCUCACCUCACAAAAAAAAAUGCAGAAUCAGGGGGACUGAACAAGAAAUAGAGAUUUCGGUAUCAGGAGGAGUGGGAUGGGGAGAAGAGGAGGGAUAAAAGAAGUUCAGGCUCCAAUCUAUUAUUUCAGAAAUGUCAACAGACAGGAUAUUCAAAAGUCCACUGAAUUUGAGAAAUAAAGAGACAAGGCUACACACGUGUACAGACAUGGGCAUAAUCACCAGAAGAAGAAAAUAUAAAUACAACACAAAUGGUCACUUCUGAGAAGUAAGGCCGAGAACAGGAAGAGGUGGAACACAGAUCUGAGACAAGGGUGCAGGUCGUGCUGACAAAUCAGCCCAGUAUGAUCCUUGAGUGGAUAAUUGAGGUUCAUGUAUGCCAAGUCAAAGCUACAAUCUGCUACCCCAAUUCCCAUGAACCAUUCCAGCACUUCUGAGAAGGACACAAAUCUGUUCCAAGAUGGACGUUCACCCCAUUUCUCAGCUGGUGUAUGGGUGCGGUCACUGGAGAGGGGAAGAGAUGCAUCACCUCCAGGCUGAGGGAGAGGCCAAGAUGACUGCUCAAGGCCCAUACCUCAAGAACAACCAAGUGAAGAUGGGCACCUGGUCUCUGAGACACCGCCCCCCCAAGGAGCACCAUUCUACAUCCGUCAUGGUUUUGAAGGAGGUCACUGAGAGGACAUGACCACUGGCUGACCCACAAGCUGGACCUGGGCAGUGGAAGGUCCUCGUCCCCUCUUCCCCUGUCCUUGGAAUGUACACUCUGCCCGUGUCCCCACAGUGGGGGCCAUUUUCAAGGACACAGUCUUGAGAGAGCAAUGUGUUGUUGAGACUAUCUGGAUGGUAUACAUGAUGGAACCCCAUCAAGGACCCUAUAUAAACUUAAGAGUCUGGUGGAGAUCCAUGUGUCUUGCAGCACCCAAGACAAACCUCAUACAUAAGUUCCCUUAUUAAA